rnacentral:rRNA from 1 species
UACAGAGGUGGCAAGCGUUGUUCGGAAUUACUGGGCGUAAAGGGCGCGUAGGCGGUCCGAUAAGUCCUGUGUGAAAUCCCUCGGCUCAACUGAGGAACUGCACGGGAGACUGUCGGGCUUGAGUUCGGGAGAGGGAAGCGGAAUUCCGGGUGUAGCGGUGAAAUGCGUAGAUAUCCGGAGGAACACCGGUGGCGAAGGCGGCUUGCUGGGCUGUAACUGACGCUGAGGAACGAAAGCUAGGGGAGCGAAUGGG